AACGGCCGUACCAUGCUGAAUAUACCGGUUCUCGUUAGAUCACUGAAGUUAAGCAUCAUUGGGCGCGGUCAGUACUUGGGUGGGUGACCACCUGGGAACACUGCGUGCCGUU